rnacentral:lncRNA from 1 species
GUUUUCUCUCUAAUUUUCUCUCUAGGUCUUGUGUUGUAUAAGGAGGAAAAAUUGAAUAUAUAUAUAGCCUAUCGGGGCGCCUAGGCGCCAUGUUUCUGUCAAGAAACAUACUCGGGGCGGCGCCUAGGCGUCCAGUUUCUGCUUCGGCAGAAGCGCCCACUCCAGCGCCUAGGCGCUACUUGCUCCUUUCUCAACUUCUCUUCUUCUUUUCUCUUCUCAGUUUCUUUUCUUCUCACAAUUCUCCACCUCGUACAUCAUUUGAUAGACCUCAAAUUUUGGACGAACACAAGAAGAAGAAAUAAACACCAAAAGAACUCGGCUGCACCAUUCAAAUCAUGAUUGCCUACGUACCCAAAACUCGGGAUCAAGCCUCCGUAGUUCACCUCCACCUUCAUAUACUCUCCACCUCAUUUCAACCUCCCCCCCCGAAGGGCCA